AUCCACAGACGUCUGCUGCUCACCUAAGCUGCUGAAAGGCGUCCAUGUGCUGCCCAGGAAACCUGGUGAUGCACAGAAAGCUGAGCAGCAUUAUUGUCUGCUAAUAACCUCCUCCUCACCUGCUAUUCUCCCUGCUGAUUUUUUUCACCCCCCAUCUAAGGGAUGUAAAUGCACAAGGGCAAAAGGACAAACAAGAAUCAGGAAAACCUGCAGAUUUGCAGCAGAAAAUGCCUAUUGUGGAGUGAAAGGGAUCUGCCAGUCUUUGUCUUCAGUAAGACUGAAAAGGAUUCCUCUCCAGUCCCUAGUGCACUAUACUGAUGUCCUUUUCUGGAAUUGUGGAAACCUGUAACAGCUUUAGAACGUGUCACAAGAAUUUCACAGCAAGCCUGUAGAUUUCCAAUCACAUACAGUUUACUUUCAUUCUGGAAUCAAACUGAGGACAGUAUGUAAUAGUGCUUGAGAAAUUAUGGUCUCCAAGGCCUGGAGGACACCCAACCCAGCAGAUGUGAGACAGUCAGUGCAGCAGCAGUGCAAGGAUCAUUGCAUGCACUAAUACUCUUGUGGGCUGUUCCGACAUAAGCGGUUGUUUGGAGGCUUUGGGCCACGUUUCUCCCCGUUGUGGGCCAUCUGUGUUGAAAAUGUGUCCAGAAUUGAAGGUUACCUCUUUGUCACCAGGAAACAGGAAAUAAGUUUGAGAAACAUCUGUUUUUCACCUUGGAUGAUUUUGUUAACUUGGAUGCAACAUUUUGCAGCUGUUUUUCAUUCUACAAACUUUGGAGAACAUAUGAAUUGUGAUUGGAAAACCAUGGUGCACGUCUGUGUGUGCAUUCACAUCCACUGGAAUUGUGUACUAUGCUGUAUUUGUUCCUACAUUCCAUAUACAAAGUUAUUUAAACCAUCAAGACUUGAAAGCAUGUCACCAAGAAGAAAGAAAUCGCCAACCUCCACAGUGUUCUGAAGGCAGUGAUUUCCAUCAGCGUUAUAGAGGACUAUCAAUGUUAUCUUCCCAAACUGUGGGAAGCAAGGGAAACCUACAGGCAUAUGUGAGUUACAUGGAAAGCAAACAAACCCUUCAAAAGCCUGGUACCCACCACCAAGUGCUCCAUGUUUUGACUGAACUGCUCUGUCAUUUUGAGAGAUGUAUUGAUUCAGGCAUUUUCUCUUGAAAAGUGAAGGUUCUUGAAGGUUCAGGUUGCCCAGACUCAGCAGCAUGGCACUUCAUAGUGUUGCGUUUUGAGUCACCUCACUGAAAGUGCUAUUGCAGACCAAAGUUUUGGAUCUACUGAGUAGAUGUAUGUGAACCUAGACUUGUCACUGGUACUCAGCAUGUGUGUUUUUACCAUGAGCUGCUUCAAAAUACAGAUAAAUUGUACUGAGUUACAGGCAAGCCUGGGGAUUUAUCAGAGUAGACAGAACAGUAUUUAGAACAACUGCUGUUUUUCUGGCAAUGUGUGUGUAUAUCCUGGAAAUUACAGUUUUUUACUUGCAGAUGGAGCUUGUCCAAAUACUGAAAACAUCUCUGUAUCAAGCAUAACUGAACUUUCCGUUUAAUUCUUCAUGGCCAGUUUCCAUUUUUUCUUGGCAAACUUGUGAUAGCCUAUGUGACCUUCUAAGUCACUAAAUCUGGCUGACUUUUAAACAAAUAUCCUUUUAAACAAAUAUCCUUUAAAAAAAAGUCUAGGAACAUUUCACUGUGACUGAUACACAUCUGUGACUGUACAAUUCAUUUCAAUGCAUCUAGUCCUAUUCAGCAUAUACAUAGACACUGCCUUGCACUUUAACUGAAUUGUAUUGUAAAAAAUAUUUUCCAUUUAAAAGACUGUCUGAGUUCUUUCAGAUAUUAAAUCUCUCACAAAG
ensembl:lncRNA